GACGAACGCUGGCGGCGUGCUUAACACAUGCAAGUCGAACGGUGAAGCGAGUGCUUGCACUCGUGGCUCAGUGGCGAACGGGUGAGUAACACGUGAGUAACCUGCCCAUCACUCUGGGAUAAGCACUGGAAACGGUGUCUAAUACUGGAUACGACCAACCCUUGCAUGGGGUGUUGGUGGAAAGAUUUAUCGGUGAUGGAUGGACUCGCGGCCUAUCAGCUUGUUGGCGGGGUAAUGGCCCACCAAGGCGACGACGGGUAGCCGGCCUGAGAGGGUGACCGGCCACACUGGGACUGAGACACGGCCCAGACGCCUACGGGAGGCAGCAGUGGGGAAUAUUGCACAACGGGCGAAAGCCUGAUGCAGCGACGCCGCGUGAGGGAUGACGGCCUUCGGGUUGUAAACCUCUUUCAGCAGGGAAGAAGCGAAAGUGACGGUACCUGCAGAAGAAGCACCGGCUAACUACGUG
rnacentral:rRNA from 1 species